rnacentral:rRNA from 1 species
UCUACGGGACGCAGCAGUAGGGAAUUUUCCACAAUGGGCGAAAGCCUGAUGGAGUAACGCCGCGUGCAGGAUGAAUGCCUUCGGGUUGUAAACUGCUUUUAUAUGUGACGAAUAUGACGGUAGCAUAUGAAUAAGGAUCGGCUAACUCCGUGCCAGCAGCCGCGGUAAUA